rnacentral:rRNA from 1 species
CCUACGGGAGGCAGCAGUGGGGAAUAUUGGGCAAUGGGCGCAAGCCUGACCCAGCAACGCCGCGUGAAGGAAGAAGGCUUUCGGGUUGUAAACUUCUUUUCUGGGGGACGAACAAAUGACGGUACCCCAGGAAUAAGCCACGGCUAUCUAAGUGACAGUAGCCGCGGUAAUACGUAGGUAGCAAGCGUUAUCCGGAUUUAGUGGGUGUAAAGGGCGUGUAGGGGGGACUGCAAGUCAGGUGUGAAAACUAGGGGCUCAACCCGUAGCCUGCAAUUGAAACUGUAGUUCUUGAGUGCAGGAGAGGCAAGCGGAAUGCCGGGUGUAGCGGUGAAAUGCGUAGAUAUACGGAGGAACACCAGUGGCGAAGGCGGAAUGCUGGACAGUAACUGACGCUGAGGCGCGAAAGCGUGGGGAGCGAACAGGAUUAGAUACCCCUGUAGUC